AUGGGAACUAAUGACAAUCAAACAGAAAAGUAUAUAGAUAUUGAAAUGAGUAGAACACCAAAUAAAAAUGAUACAGAAUGUAAGGCUAAAAAAAAAGGAAGCAAUAACAAGGUUAUGUUAUCAAUAACAUUUUUAUUAAUAGGGAUAAGCUGUUUAAAUAUAUGGAACGCAGCUAUUGGUUUAAAUAUGAAGUUAGAAUAUAACACAUAUCAAAUGACAGGUUUAUUACUUUCUUCAAUUACAGCCUUGUUUAUUGAUAUACCUAAAAUAUUAAUGCCAUGUUUCCUUGGUGGAUUAGUUAUUUUAUGUGCAGGUUUUCAAAUCACACAUACAUUUUGUUCUUUAUUUAUAUUUGAGCGUUAUUCUUAUGCUGCUUUUCUGUUAAUUGGUAUAUUAGGAGGGUUAAUUCAAACAAUAGCAUUUAGAAUGUCAACUACAAUGGAAACAAAUUAUAGUGGUUACGUAUCUACAGGAAUUGGUAUAUCUUCAGUUUUUAUUUUUUCAAUAAAUUUAUUACUUGAUGUGAUUGUUAAUGAGGAUAUAAAAUAUGCUAUAAACACAUAUAAAUUACAUAUUUUGUUAUCUGUGUGUGAAGCCUGUAUUAUUAUGACUAUUGUUUUAGUUUUAAUAAAUUUAAAUUUAUCACCAAAAAAUAAAACGCAAACUGAGGACCAGGAAGAAGAAUCAUUAUCGUACGUGGAAUUAUUUAAAGAUGGCUAUAAAGGUAUAAUAUCACUUUUCUUAGUUAAUUGGUUGACUUUACAAUUAUUUCCUGGUGUUGGACAUAAAAAAUGGGAAAAAGUUCAUAACAUAUCUGAUAAAAAUGUUACUAUUUUAGUUGGUAUGUUUCAAUUAUUUGAUUUUGUUAGUAGAUAUCCACCUAAUUUAAGUCAUAUUAAAUAUUUUAAAUAUUUUAAUUUUUCAUUAAAUACGCUAUUAAUAUUUAUUGCUAUCCGAUUUAUAUUUAUCCCAUGGUUUAUUUUUAAUGCAAUUUUUAAAUUUUUUAUAUUUCCAAAUUACAUUCAGCAAUGCAUUUGUUUGGCUUUAUUUGCAUUUACCAACGGUUGGUUUAAUACUGUACCAUUCUUAGCGUUUGUUAAGGAACUGAAAAAGGCAAAAAGUAAAAAAGAAAUAGAAAAAAUAUCAAACCUAAUGGUUGUUGCUUUAUUUGUUGGUUUAUGUGUUGGUAUAUAUACUACUAACAUUUAUGAUCUUAUACCCAUUGAUGUAGCAAAAAAGAGUCCUAUGGAUAGUGUAUAAGUGAAUAAAUAAAUAAAUAAGUAUAUAGGUAUAUAAGUA
rnacentral:lncRNA from 1 species